rnacentral:misc_RNA from 1 species
AAAGUCGUAACAAGGUUUCCGUAGGUGAACCUGCGGAAGGAUCAUUAGUAAUUCAUUUAAUUCUACCCUCGGGAAGAGUUAAUGUUCUGUGCACUGAGCAAAUCAACAUGCUGCUGUGGGAUUUAUUCCGCCGCAGCUGUGGGUAGGCUUUUUUAAUUGAUUUUAUUUAUUCAUUUUAUUUCAAAGGGUUAGUGCAAGUCGAAAGACUAGUAUUUCCCCAGAGAAUUUAAAAAACCAAGACAACUUUCAGCAAUGGAUCUCUUGGCUCUU